rnacentral:rRNA from 1 species
ACGAGUGCCCCAAGCGUUAUCCGGAAUCAUUGGGCGUAAAGGGUGUGUAGGUGGUUGUGUUAGUCUUCUGUCAAAUUCUUCGGCUUAACCGGGGUCCUGCAGAGGAAACGGCACAACUAUGAGGAUGCGAGGGGUGAACGGAACUCAUGGAGUAGGGGUGAAAUCCGUCGAUAUCAUGGGGAACACCAAAAGCGAAGGCAAUUCACUGGCGCACUUCCUGACACUGAAACACGAAAGCGUGGGUAGCGAACGGGA